rnacentral:lncRNA from 1 species
GCCAAAACAACCUGAUAGAAGCUGUUCUGAGACAGCGAAAACAAUUCAGUCCUAGGACACAGCCCUCUGCCACCUGUGAUUAAUGCAGCAAGGCAUUUUACAGGAUUCAGGUCUUCAAGAACUAGCAGGAACCAAUCAGCGGGCAAAUUCGAGGACAGACUGUCCAGGUGUGAGUAAGACAGCAGAUGCUUCCGGGGAGCUCUUCACAGCCUUGGGGACCUCAAGUCUUCUGCAUAUAGGCAGAAGGGAGAAAGAGAAAAUGGAAGAG